UACGUAGGGGGCAAGCGUUAUCCGGAUUUACUGGGUGUAAAGGGAGCGUAGACGGCUGUGCAAGUCUGAAGUGAAAGGCAUGGGCUCAACCUGUGGACUGCUUUGGAAACUGUGCAGCUAGAGUGUCGGAGAGGUGAGUGGAAUUCCUAGUGUAGCGGUGAAAUGCGUAGAUAUUAGGAGGAACACCAGUGGCGAAGGCGGCUUACUGGACGAUGACUGACGUUGAGGCUCGAAAGCGUGGGGAGCAAACAGG
rnacentral:rRNA from 1 species